rnacentral:rRNA from 1 species
UUGGAGGGCAAGUCUGGUGCCAGCAGCCGCGGUAAUUCCAGCUCCAAUAGCGUAUAUUAAAGUUGUUGCAGUUAAAAAGCUCGUAGUUGAAUUUCGGGGUUCUACCGUUGGUCGGGCUUUGUCUGUACUGGUGUGUAGAAUUUCUACCUUCUGGGGAACCAUCAUGCUAUUAAUUUAGCGUGGUGGGAAACCAGGACCUUUACCUUGAAAAAAUUAGUGUGUUCAAAGCAGGCUUAUGUCUGAAUACAUUAGCGUGGAAUAAUAGAAUAGGACGGUGGUCCUGUAUUGUUGGUUUCUGAAUCACCGUAAUGAUUAAUAGGGAUAGUUGGGGGCAUUAGUAUUCAAUUGUCAGAGGUGAAAUUCUUGGAUUUAUUGAAGACUAACUUCUGCGAAAGCAUUUGCCAAGGAUGUUUUCAUUAAUCAAGAACGAAAGUUAGGGGAUCGAAGACGAUCAGAUACCGUCGUAGUCUUAACCAUAAACUAUGCCGACUAGGGAUCGGACGAUGUUAAUUUUUCUUGACUCGUUCGGCGCCUUACGGGAAA